rnacentral:rRNA from 1 species
ACGUAGGGGGCGAGCGUUGUCCGGAAUUAUUGGGCGUAAAGCGCGUGUAGGCGGCUAUCCAAGUCCGGUGUGAAAGCUCGGGGCUCAACCCCGAGUCUGCAUUGGAUACUGGGUAGCUAGAGUCCGGAAGAGGAGACUGGAAUUCCUAGUGUAGCGGUGAAAUGCGCAGAUAUCAGGAAGAACACCGGUGGCGAAGGCGGGUCUCUGGGACGGUACUGACGCUGAGACGCGAAAGCGUGGGGAGCAAACAG